rnacentral:rRNA from 1 species
GUGGGGAAUUUUGGACAAUGGGCGCAAGCCUGAUCCAGCAAUGCCGCGUGCAGGAAGAAGGCCUUCGGGUUGUAAACUGCUUUUGUACGGAACGAAACGGUCCUGGUUAAUACCUGGGGCUAAUGACGGUACCGUAAGAAUAAGCACCGGCUAACUACGUGCCAGCAGCCGCGGUAAUACGUAGGGUGCGAGCGUUAAUCGGAAUUACUGGGCGUAAAGCGUGCGCAGGCGGUGCUGUAAGACAGGCGUGAAAUCCCCGGGCUCAACCUGGGAAUUGCGCUUGUGACUGCAGUGCUGGAGUACGGCAGAGGGGGAUGGAAUUCCGCGUGUAGCAGUGAAAUGCGUAGAUAUGCGGAGGAACACCGAUGGCGAAGGCAGUCCCCUGGGCCUGUACUGACGCUCAUGCACGAAAGCGUGGGGAGCAAACAGGAUUAGAUACCCUGGUAGUCC